GUGGAUUAGAUACCCGGGUAGUCCACGCUGUAAACGAUGAGUGCUGGACGUUGGCGGGCUUGCCUGCCGGUGUCGUAGCUAACGCGAUAAGCACUCCGCCUGGGGAGUACGGCCGCAAGGUUAAAACUCAAAGGAAUUGACGGGGGCCCGCACAAGCGGUGGAGCAUGUGGUUUAAUUCGACGCAACGCGAAGAACCUUACCAGCCCUUGACAUGGGAAGUAUGGGCCGCAGAGACGCGGUCCUUCAGUUCGGCUGGCUUCCACACAGGUGCUGCAUGGCCGUCGACAACU
rnacentral:rRNA from 1 species